rnacentral:rRNA from 1 species
CUGAAUGGAAAGCCGCGAAUGGCUCAUUACAACAGCCACAGUUUAUUGGGUCUCCAUUUACUUGGAUAACUGAGCUAAUUGUUGAGCUAAUACACGCACCAAAGCUUCGACCUCACGGGAGGAGCGCAUUUAUUAGAACAAAACCAAUCGGACUUCGGUCCGUCCAUUGGUGAAUCUAAAUAACUUAGCCGAUCGCAUGGUCUCGCACCGGCGACUCACCUUUCAAAUGUCUGCCUUAUCACCUUUCGAUGGUAGUUUAUACGCCUACCAUGGGUUUUACGGGUAACGGAGAAUAAGGGUUCGACUCCGGAGAGGGAGCCUGAGAAACGGCUACCACAUCCAAGGAAGGCAGCAGGCACGCAAAUUACCCACUCCCGGCACGGGGAGGUAGUGACGAAAAAUAACGAGGCGGUUCUCUAUGAGGCCCGCCAUCGGAAUGGGUACAAUCUAAA